rnacentral:rRNA from 1 species
UACGUAGGGGGCAAGCGUUGUCCGGAAUUACUGAGCGUAAAGGGCUCGUAGGUGGCCAACUAAGUCAGACGUGAAAUCCCUCGGCUUAACCGGGGAACUGCGUCUGAUACUGGAUGGCUUGAGUUCGGGAGAGGGAUGCGGAAUUCCAGGUGUAGCGGUGAAAUGCGUAGAUAUCUGGAGGAACACCGGUGGCGAAGGCGGCAUCCUGGACCGACACUGACACUGAGGAGCGAAAGCCAGGGGAGCAAACGGG